UUAAUUUGAAAUUAUUUUUGAUUAUGAAGUAAAUGAAAAUAAUUAUAUUGAGAUUUUUUUCGUCUGCGGGAAAAUGGCUGAUGUUAAAUCGCACUCACAAUUUCAUUUUCAAGCACACUAUAUUCCUUAAAUAUUUACUUUGCGACUACAUACAUUUUUUAUGACAUGAAAAGCCUGACUUCUACUCUUCUGAAUCAAAACUCUAGUAAAUUCUUUCAAAUGCAUGGAAGAUGUUUGGGAGAGUAAUGAGACUCUUUUUUAAUUGCUGAGGAUUAUACAUAACCCAUAAUAUAUCUCUGUCAAGUUAUUACUUUUAUUCAUUAAUUUUUCUAUUUUUUCUAGAUUCAAAGAAAUAAAUUCUCUUCUUUAUUUACUAAUUUAUCUCAAUCAAUUCAUCAUAACUUAAUUCUUUCUUAUCUUCUCCAAUUCUUUACCUAAGCUACUAUAAAGUUUAGCAAGUACCAUUAUAAACCAUUUAUUUAUCUUUUAUUUCAAUUAUUUAUUUCCUUUAACAAUUUAUUUUUUCUAUAUAUUAAUCUUAUUAACUUAAUUUAAACAAAAUAAUAUAAAUCAACAUUUAAUAUAAUUACAACUUCUUUCUUAAACAAAAUUUAACUUUAAUCCUCUCUUAAAACUCAAUUUCAUGGAUAUUUUCUUAUUUAUCAUUUCUCUUGUCUGCUUUUUGCUUUUUCAAUUUUCCAAGUAUCGUCUGCUUAUUUUUUCCCCAUUUUUUUUUCUAUUUCAAAAUUCAAAUUUAUCUUACAAUUUACUUUAAAAUUUAUAUUAUGUCAAUUUUCAAAAAUCUAACAAUCUACUCCUACAACAUUCCUGGCCUACUUUCAAAAACAACUAUACUUAGGAAACUCUUUGAUCAAUAUGAUAUUAACAUUAUUUUAACACAAGAAUCUCUUAUUACCAAUAAUAUAAAAAAAAAAAAGAGAAAACAAAAAAAAUAAGUUACAAAUUACAAAAACUAAUUCUUCUUCCUCUUUACUCCUUAAUCACCCCCCCCCCCUUUUUCUAAUACAUAUUCCUAUCUUAUCUUUUAUAAUAAAUAAACAUUAUUUACAAUGUGGAUCCUGGCUUAUCCACGAGUGGUACCCGUCAUCCCACUCAAAUUAAACGGGACCCUGACAGUAGGGUAAAUUACUGUCAACUUUGUGGAUCCUGGCUUAUCCACGAGUGGUACCUGUCAUCCCACUCAAAUUAAACAGGGCCCAGACAGUAGGGUAAAUUUUCUGCCAAACAGUGAAUGCAAAUUCACUGCACUGGAGACGCCCUCUAUGGGGUGGUGGAGUGCCCACUUAAUUGUGGGAUGUCUCCCCAGUGUAUAAUAUGAUAUGAUAUGAACUCAAAUUAUAAUGAUAUAUAUGACUUCCUUGUAUUCUCUAAAAUUCCGGUAAAUGUUAAUAAGGCUAAUUUUCUAAGAAAGAUAACCGCCUUCAAGAUUAUAGAAAAUCAAUUAUUCUAUGGGGAAACCAUUAUAAGUUCAAUGCAAUAUAUUAUUUUUUAACAUUGAAAAAUGCUCAGGCCAUUAUUAACUUUUUUUCAUCUAAAAUUAAUUAUAGCUGCAAAUAAGAAAGAAAAGUUAUACUGACAGGAGAUGAACAAAAAAAAAUAAUUAAAACAAUACAUGAGGGGGGUGUAUCUACAGUUGCAGGUAUUGCUAUGGGAGGGCAUCUGGGGAUUAAUAAAACUAAUCAAAUAAUAGCUGAAAAGAUAAAACAGCUAAAUCUGUUGUAAAAGCCUUAUACAUCAUUGUCAACACCCACCAAUGCUAUGAAAAAAUAUCCCUAGAUAUUUUUUUCCUACAACAAAGGUAUGGAAAAAAUAUCAUGCUAAAAUAUAUGGUUUAAAGCCUCCCAAACGUUGUCGGGAUGUAGACUAUGGGAAACAACUUGGUGAACCCACCAUCCUGGUGCAAAUUGAAAAUGAUGGGAAUUGUUUUUAUAGGGCGAUUAGUGUAGAGCUUACUGGAGCUCCAAAUUCCCAUGUUAUUCUCAGGCAAUGGUUGGCACAAUUUAUGCUAACAUCCGAGAUGGGAAAGGUAAUUGAAAAUUAUCUUUACGAGACGAACAAAAAAAUAGAGAUAAAAACUUAUGUCUCAAAUAAUGUAAUGACACAGAAGAUAUGGGCUUCUGACACAGAAGUCAGGGCGAUGGCCACAAUGUUAAAUACGGCUAUUUUUACUUAUAUAAAAUAUAAUGAUAAUUUUGUAUGGGCCCGAUAUGACCCAUUUUAUAUUCGCGACAAUAUUAAAAUAUUUAAUAAUAAUUUUAUUUAUAUAAAAAAUGGGGGGAGUCAUUUUGAAAAUGUUUUAGAUUGCGAUUUAUCUUCCAUCUAAUCACUAUUUAUUAUUUUUAUUAAAAAAAAUUUUUUAUAUAAAUAUAUAUAAUUAUAUUUCAUUCAUAUUAUAAUUUAUCGCCUUAUAUAUAUAUUUUUUAUGAAAGUUGUAGUUUAU